rnacentral:rRNA from 1 species
GACGAACGCUGGCGGCGUGCUUAACACAUGCAAGUCGAACGGAAAGGCCCUGCUUGCAGGGUACUCGAGUGGCGAACGGGUGAGUAACACGUGGGUGAUCUGCCCUGCACUUCGGGAUAAGCCUGGGAAACUGGGUCUAAUACCGGAUAGGAGCCAUUUUUAGUGUGAUGGUUGGAAAGUUUUUUCGGUGUAGGAUGAGCUCGCGGCCUAUCAGCUUGUUGGUGGGGUAAUGGCCUACCAAGGCGGCGACGGGUAGCCGGCCUGGGAGGGUGGACGGCCACAUUGGGACUGAGAUACGGCCCAGACUCCGACGGGAGGCAGCAGUGGGGAAUAUUGCACAAUGGGCGCAAGCCUGAUGCAGCGACGCCGCGUGGGGGAGGACGGCCUUCGGGUUGGAAACUCCUUUCGCUAGGGACGAAGCUUUUUGUGACGGUACCUAGAUAAGAAGCACCGGCUAACUACGUG